GCCAGCGCAGCACGACAGGUCCGUGCAGCCGCCCCGUAAGCGGAAGGUCGGGAGUUCGAGCCUCCCCGCUGGCUCCA
rnacentral:tRNA from 1 species